UGUCAAGUCAUCAUGGUCCUUAUGUCCAGGGCUACACACGUGCUACAAUGGUCGGUACAGAGGGAUGCAAUACAGCAAUGUGGAGCCAAUCCCAAAAAGCCGAUCUCAGUUCGGAUUGAAGUCUGCAACUCGACUUCAUGAAGCUGGAAUCGCUAGUAAUCGCGUGUCAGCAUAACGCGGUGAAUACGUUCCCGGGUCUU
rnacentral:rRNA from 1 species